UUUUAAACAGUAGGAACUGUUGCAGACUACAGGGACAAAAGUCACAAGAUUCGAAGUUGGACUGAGUGUAUUCUGUAUCAACGGAUGGCUAGGAGCCUGUGGGACCAGCAGAGGGAGAUUGUGACUCAAAUAUGGUGUGUUUGGGUGUCAGGCAGACAAGGACCAGUCUUGUGAGGGUAAAUAUUGUCUGUCAACUUGACAGACUCUGUAUUCACCUAGGUGGCCAGGCCCUGGGAAUAUUUCUGAGGGAGUCGCUAGACUGGAUUACAGAAGGUGGAGAGACACACCCGAAACAUGAGCAGUGACAUUCCAUACACUAGGGCCCUGGACCGGAUACAGAGGAGAAAGCAGGCCAAGAUGCAUUCAUCUCUCUCUGCUUCCUGACCGUUUCAUCAAGCAAUAGACAAGUGUACCAGGAUGCCUGCCGCUGUAGCUGCUUGAAAGCUGAAGCCGGAGAAUCACAAGAUCAAGACCAGGCUGGCUCUUGGUACCCAGCUGCCAUGUCGUAGGGGAGUCACAACAUGUGAAGAAACCCGACAGGAGCCAGCGACCCUCAGAUGUGAGAGAACAGCAUUUUGGCGUUCCAGACUGGGAACCAGACAUCAUGGGGCUGAGAUGAGCCACCUGCCCUGUGCCAAAUUCUUCUCCUGACCCAGGAUAAUAAAUGGUUGUUUGUUGUGCCA